GACGAACCGUGCGAACGUUGUUCGGAUUCACUGGGCUUAGAGGGCGCGUAGGCGGCUUGCCGAGUCAGGGGUGAAAUCUUUCGGCUUAACCGGAAAAGUGCUUCUGAUACUGGCAGGCUGGAGGGAGGUAGGGGCAGACGGAACUUCCGGUGGAGCGGUGAAAUGCGUAGAUAUCGGAAGGAACGCCGGUGGCGAAAGCGGUCUGCUGGACCUCUGCUGACGCUGAGGCGCGAAAGCGUGGGGAGCAAACAGG
rnacentral:rRNA from 1 species